rnacentral:rRNA from 1 species
UUCGGGCCUGGCGCGAUUGGAUGAGCCCAUGUCGGAUUAGCUAGUUGGCGGGGUAAUGGCCCACCAAGGCGACGAUCCGUAGCUGGUCUGAGAGGAUGAUCAGCCACACUGGAACUGAGACACGGUCCAGACUCCUACGGGAGGCAGCAGUAGGGAAUAUUGGACAAUGGGCGCAAGCCUGAUCCAGCCAUGCCGCGUGAGUGAAGAAGGCCCUCGGGUUGUAAAGCUCCUUUGUCCGGAAAGAAAAGCGCCGGGUUAAUACCCUAGUGUCCUGACGGUACCGGAAGAAUAAGCACCGGCUAACUUCGUG